GGCGGCGUAGCUCAGCCGGUUAGAGCACGAAGCUCAUACCUUCGGAGUCGUAGGUUCGAGUCCUACCGCCGCUACCA
rnacentral:tRNA from 2 species